ACCAACCGUGUUUCCCUUGCCCCUUAGCUCCAGAAGCAGAAAAUUCCGUGGACUCCAAGAUGAGCCUCCUGGCCCUGCUCCUCUGCCUCCCGUUGCUGGGCUUUCAGCGCUGCAGGGGACAGAUCAUCCUGGCCCAGUCUCCAGAGACCCUGGCAGCAUCUCAAGGUGACUUUGUCUCCAUCACCUGUAGAAGCAGCCUGGAGGUAGGUACCUCCAUGGCCUGGUACCACCAGAGACCUCAGGAGGCUCCCAGGCUGCUCCUCUUUGGGGCUUCUGCCAGGGCUGCUGGAACCCCUUCCCGGUUCCGGGGAAGCGGCUCUGGCUUUGACUUCUCCCUCUCCAUCCACGGGGUGGAAGCUGAAGACGUCGGGGUGUUUUACUGCCAGCAGCACUUCAGCCAGCCUCUCACAGCGACUGGUCCCCAAACAAAAAGCCCCUUUCUGGGCUGGAGACCUUGCCCUGGUGCAGAGACACCCGCUUCCUGCAGGAGCCACAGUCUGAGAGGAGUGAAGGGUCCACGGUACACGUCCAUGUUUUCCGGGUCUGUUUCCCCACCUGGGAAGCAGGGCAGGUUGAAGAGUUGAAGAGUUGUGAGUUGUCACCUCACAUUAAACCACACCGUCACAGAGGAGAGGGCAAG